rnacentral:tRNA from 1 species
GCCUGGGUGGCUCAGUUGGUUAAACGUCUGACUUUGGCUUGGGUCAUGAUCUUGUGGUUUGUGGGUUCAAUCCCCACCUCAGGCU